AAAUUGAAGAGUUUGAUCAUGGCUCAGAUUGAACGCUGGCGGCAGGCCUAACACAUGCAAGUCGAACGGUAACAGGAAGCAGCUUGCUGCUUUGCUGACGAGUGGCGGACGGGUGAGUAAUGUCUGGGAAACUGCCUGAUGGAGGGGGAUAACUACUGGAAACGGUGGCUAAUACCGCAUAACGUCGCAAGACCAAAGAGGGGGACCUUCGGGCCUCUUGCCAUCAGAUGUGCCCAGAUGGGAUUAGCUGGUUGGUGAGGUAACGGCUCACCAAGGCGACGAUCCCUAGCUGGUCUGAGAGGAUGACCAGCCACACUGGAACUGAGACACGGUCCAGACUCCUACGGGAGGCAGCAGUGGGGAAUAUUGCACAAUGGGCGCAAGCCUGAUGCAGCCAUGCCGCGUGUAUGAAGAAGGCCUUCGGGUUGUAAAGUACUUUCAGCGGGGAGGAAGGUGUUGUGGUUAAUAACCGCAGCAAUUGACGUUACCCGCAGAAGAAGCACCGGCUAACUCCGUGCCAGCAGCCGCGGUAAUACGGAGGGUGCAAGCGUUAAUCGGAAUUACUGGGCGUAAAGCGCACGCAGGCGGU
rnacentral:rRNA from 1 species